UGACCACUCUAGAGAAUUGCACCUAUGAGCUACCACUUAAACCCAAGAACAAUGGCCAAUAAACUAUGAAUAUAUCCCUUUUUCUUUCUAACAGAUAAGAAAUGGAAGAAAGCACCGUUAUUGAUGUGUUCAAUUGGGUGAAAAUUUUGAAUUAGAUUAUGCUACUUAAAUUGGAUAGUGCUUUUCACAGCAGUCCAAGGGGUUGUACAGACAGAAAAUUUAUACACAUAUUUAAAAGAAACAGGGAACUUAAAGCCCUCAUGGGAACCACCGUGCAUUAUUAUACUUGAAAGUAGCAUUUCAUUGCAAAGCCAUCUGAGACAAAAUCAUGAAUAAGUACAAAAUGUAAACCAAGGAACAGCAAGAAGUAC
rnacentral:misc_RNA from 1 species